UCUCUCCCUCUCUACCUUUCUCUCCUCCCUCUCUCUCUCUCUCUCUCUCUGCCUCUCCUCUCUCUCUCUCUCUCGUCCCUCUCUCUAUCUCUCUCUUUUCUUCCCCAGGUCAAUAACGUGACAUCGGAAUCCCUGCUGCUUCUCUGGGCGCGAGGAGAUGAAGACAGGAAGGUGUCUGGUUAUACUAUCAAAUAUUGGAGCGCCGAUGAUAAAAAAGUGCAGUACAUCGAUGUGAGUGGAGGAAACGCUACCAACAUAGUAGUGCGUGGCUUAAUACCAGCUACGAAUUACCAGUUCACAGUCCAAGCUUACAGUGAGCAAGGACGGUCUCGUUUCGCCACGCCUACAGUGCAAGUUACAACCCUAGGUCACGUGAGUGCCAGCAGCAGCACGGAGGGCGGAGGGAAGUCCCGAGUGCCCCGUCUGAUCCUGCUCAUCAUGACCCUGGCUGGCACUGCGCUGCUAGUGCUUAACAUGGCCAUCAUCGCCUGCUUCGUCAGGAGGAGGUCGGCUCACAGAGGGCGCGGUGUGUCGGGUGAGAGUUUUUUUUUUCUCUCUCUCUCUCCUUUUUCUUCUUCGUGUGUUUCUUCUCCUCUUCUGUUUACUCUUUAUUGUU